rnacentral:lncRNA from 1 species
AAAAUAAUUAGCAAUUGAUGAAGUGUUUGCAUCAUGGAACCGUGCACCUGCUGCCUGAGUGCCCUGCAUUUGGAUGUUUGGGGAAGAUUGAAUAUAUAGGUAGAUCAGUAGAUAGGAGACCUGUUCUCCAUUUGGGGGAUGCUUACAGUCUAGACUGGGGACCCGUAGAGCCACUGUCACAGGUGCAGAGAGAUACAGCUGAAGAGUGUGUUCUGACAGCGUUAACCAGGCUUGCUGUCAUGGAAGCUGUGAGCUUUGAGGUGUGGCAUUUGAGGGAGAGGAGGGGUGAAAAUGCUCAGAGGCAGAAGGGAAUGCUCACCAGUACCCAGGGCUCUUUGUCCUUUCCUGAGCCCUGAAGGUGGGUCAUCUGGCUGCCUUGGAAAUCCCUUUAAUAAAGCUGGUCUCCAGGACGGGAGAACUUGGGAUUCUCAGAGAGUCAUCUGGCCUGGCUUAAUGUCUCCAUGCCAUUACUCCAGGCUGAGGAUGUCACCUUCCUCUACCACCCCUGUGCCCACCCUUGGCUGAAGCUCCAGCUUGCCCUCCUGGCCCACGUUUGUGUGGCCCAGCCCUCACUGGCCCCGGACUCCAGCCUUACUCAGGAGCGGGUAAGCAGUUGAUGAAAGGUCGUUGUUUCGCACUGGCAGAGGCUGCAGCCCCAUGUGCAGGAAAGGAAAAUUCAGGGACUUCCUCUUGCUGGCUCCCCACCUUCAACUUAGUUCUCCUUUCCUAGCCCUUGGUGCUGGCAGCAUGUGGGGUGGUGCUGGAGAUGGCAUGGAUAGAGCCAGCCUGGGCUGCCCACUGGCUGAAGAGGCGGCGGCGGCGGAGGAGGAGGCUGAGGAAGGAGAAGGCAUGGUUCUGCUCUGACGGUCUUUCUGGGUCUUCUCCCUUGGUGCCAAGACCAGGUAGAGGGAGGCUGUGCCGGAGAGGGUGUCUGCAGGUGAGGGGUGCUGGGCUUGGUUGGUGGUGGGGUCCUUGGGUUAUCUGGGCAGGAAAAGGGUGACUGCUGUCUCUCUCCCCAAAGGCCCCAGCUUUGGCUUUUACCCUGCGGAGC